GGUAGACGGUGUGCACGGUGUCAGUCCGUGUUCAGUGUUGUUGCUGGCCUGUGUUUUUCAGGUUGUGCAGCAGCGCUCACUCCAUUAUCUGCAGCCAUAGAACAACAGGAGAUCAUAGUACUGGCCCUUGAAGUCUUUGUUGACAGCUCACCAUUGGCCAGCCUCCAAACUCUCCAACAUGU
rnacentral:snoRNA from 1 species